rnacentral:rRNA from 1 species
AAAUUGAAGAGUUUGAUCAUGGCUCAGAUUGAACGCUGGCGGCAGGCCUAACACAUGCAAGUCGAACGGUAACAGGAAACAGCUUGCUGUUUCGCUGACGAGUGGCGGACGGGUGAGUAAUGUCUGGGAAACUGCCUGAUGGAGGGGGAUAACUACUGGAAACGGUAGCUAAUACCGCAUAACGUCGCAAGACCAAAGAGGGGGACCUUCGGGCCUCUUGCCAUCGGAUGUGCCCAGAUGGGAUUAGCUAGUAGGUGGGGUAACGGCUCACCUAGGCGACGAUCCCUAGCUGGUCUGAGAGGAUGACCAGCCACACUGGAACUGAGACACGGUCCAGACUCCUACGGGAGGCAGCAGUGGGGAAUAUUGCACAAUGGGCGCAAGCCUGAUGCAGCCAUGCCGCGUGUAUGAAGAAGGCCUUCGGGUUGUAAAGUACUUUCAGUGGGGAGGAAGGGAGUAAAGUUAAUACCUUUGCUCAUUGACGUUACCCGCAGAAGAAGCACCGGCUAACUCCGUGCCAGCAGCCGCGGUAAUACGGAGGG